rnacentral:lncRNA from 10 species
UAGGCCCCGCCCACAGAGGAGGGUACCCCGCCGGAAGCCCCCUGCUCUGUGGGAACCGGAGGGAGGACAGCGCGAGGUCCCCGGACAAAGCGUGGCGCAUAAGUCCGGCCCGUAACUUGGUGGGCAGGCAACUUAGGGGAUGUGGGCCUGGUUAUAGCUGAGCAUGCUUUUCUAUUCCUCCCAGACCACAGUUCUUCAGACCUGGAGCCACUUUCAGAGAAGAGUAUAAGUUGCACUGAAUUGAAAAAGGGAAAAGUUUAGGACUGCAGAAGAUGGAAUUCCUGGGGACGUUAAACUGGGCUAAGAUGGAGCAGAUAAGAUUUCCUUAAUUAGAGCAAGACACACCUAGUAUCUAGAGCCUGGAAGUCUUGGUCAAGGAUUCUCCCUAACAUCUCAGUUUCUCAGCACUAACAUUCCUGCUACUAAAAUGAAGUGAGAAAUUAAUUUCUGAAGUUAAGUAAAGAAAUAAACUAAAAUUCCUAGAAAAGAGGUAAGAAGAAUGAGCCUUUGAAAAAUGUCUUCACAAAGACUAUCCAACAGUUUUUUCAAUGUUUCCUUCAGAUAUCCAGUAUACAUCUCAAGGUCAACUUGUCCAAAACAGAGCUACUGAUGAUUUUCCCCUUGAAAUCUCCUUAAAUGCAUUCUCCUUUUUUUAUCUAGACACAUUCACUCUCAUGGCUUCAACUAGGCGGAAUGUGACUGACCAACAGUGUGGCUCAUCCUUGUGGAGGAGAACAGAUGCCAAUUAAUUUGACAUGA